GACAGAGGGUGCAAACGUUGUUCGGAAUUACUGGGCGUAAAGCGUGUGUAGGCGGUCCGCUAAGUCGGGUGUGAAAGCCCUGGGCUCAACCCAGGAAGUGCACUCGAAACUGGCGGGCUAGAGUAUCGGAGAGGUUGGUGGAAUUUUCGGUGUAGAGGUGAAAUUCGUAGAUAUCGAGAGGAACACCGGUGGCGAAGGCGGCCAACUGGACGAAUACUGACGCUGAGACACGAAAGCGUGGGGAGCAAACAGG
rnacentral:rRNA from 1 species